rnacentral:rRNA from 1 species
AAUGAACGUUGGCGGCGUGGAUUAGGCAUGCAAGUCGAACGGGCCCGGUUUUCGGAUCGGGUCAGUGGCGCAAGGGUGAGUAAGGCGACGGUAACCAACCCCAUGGUUGGGUAUAGCCGCGGGAAACUGCGGGUAAUCCCCAGCGACGUAAGUUGUCGGCAUCGAUGGCUUACCAAAGCUCUGGCGCCGUGGGACGGGCCGUCGUGGUAUUAGGUAGUUGGCGGGGUAACGGCCCACCAAGCCUAUGAUGCCUACCGGGCGUGCGAGCGUGGCCCGGCACACUGGGACUGAGACACUGCCCAGACUCCUACGGGAGGCUGCAGUCGAGAAUCUUCGGCAAUGGGCGCAAGCCUGACCGAGCGACGCCGCGUGGAGGAUGAAGGCCUUCGGGUUGUAAACUCCUGUCGAGGGGGAGGAAGGGGUAACCUUGACCGAUCCCUGGAGGAAGCACGGGCUAAGUUCGUGCCAGCAGCCGCGGUAAGACGAACCGUGCGAACGUUAUUCGGAAUCACUGGGCUUAAAGCGCGUGUAGGCGGAUGGGGACGUCGGUUGCUGAAAGCCCCCGGCUCAACCGGGGAACUGGCGCCGAAACGCCCCGUCUGGAGGGACGUAGGGGGAUCUGGAACUUCCGGUGGAGCGGUGAAAUGCGUUGAGAUCGGAAGGAACGCCCGUGGCGAAAGCGAGGUCCUGGACGUCUGCUGACGCUGAGACGCGAAAGCUAGGGGAGCAAACGGGAUUAGAUACCCCGGUAGUCCUAGCCGUAAACGAUGGGCACUGGGUAGGGGGCUCGCCGAUGGGCUCUCUGCCGUAGCGAAAGCGUGAAGUGCCCCGCCUGGGGAGUAUGGUCGCAAGGCUG